CGACAGCAUACCAAGGCACUAAAGAAUGAACCAAACUGCUUGUACAACCAAUGAUGGACAGCAUACCAAGGCACUAAAGAAUGAACCAAACUGAUUGUACAACCAAUGAUGGACAGCAGGCAGAUCAUACUUGGCUCUGAAAUCCUCCCAUCGUAAGACAACUCCACUGGUGCUGUCCAAAAGAUUAUAUAAGAACUGCAUGACAAAGAUAGGCCACACCCCCGGAUCUCCCCCUCCUGGAGGACACAGAUCUCAUUUACCGGUAUCUUCUCCAACUUUAGCUAGGUGGAUCAGACAAGUCAUGUCUCUAUUCCAGUUCUGUUCAUUCUGUUUUCAACACGAGAACUUCAACUUUAUAUUAAUCUCAUCUACCACUUCAUCAAAGAAAGAGGAGGGGCUUCACCUGAUGGGUCCUUGUAUUCACCUGGACUGUACCAUUACUGAUUAAAUACUAGACUUAAUGUACUGCUUCAACUUUUUUUCUUGUCAACUGUUUGUUAA